ACAAAACCUAGCGCCGUUGCUCUUUCUCUCCGACAAGGCGAUUUUCGGCACGAUUUUCGGCACAUUUCCAGCGGUCUUCAAGUAGUUUCCAUCACCGUCCUGUCGUCGCUGCAACAUCUUCCCUCUGACAUGAUCUGGUUGGUUUCACGGCGAGCAGUGCUUCUGGUCUCAGAUGUGGGAGAUGUUGAAAGUAUCCACCCCGAAGACAACUCAUCACAAUGAUCUUGUUAGCUUCUCAGCUCUUGGCAUGGCUCGGUCUUGACGUUUAAGAGAGAUUCUCCACUGGUUGUAGACAUGACAACAUCAAUCCUGAAACUCUGAGACGAGAAAAUUGCAAGACGGGUGGAAGCUUUGUAUCCGAGUAUGCAGACCAUGUAUAUAUACUUCUCAAAUGCAGCACAUGAAGGAUAUUGCUGGUACUUUGGCGGCAGAAGAUGCUGGCCAAGUGGCUAAGCUUCGAUCAGUUCUGGAGUCCGUUGACCACAAAAAAAGAAAGGUACAUCAUCUCUCUUGUAAAUAAAUGAUAAAGUUCUGAGGUUACUUUGAUUGUUUUUGUAUAGGUGUUCUUAUGCUCAUGAAUUUAGUCUACUCUGUUUAUCAGAUUUUACAACAAAUGAGAGGUGAUGCACACUUGCUUAACUUGGAAGAAGGCAGUCCUCCUAUUCAACCCAAGUUCUUCAGCCCCAUUCAUCAUAAAAUGUGGAGGUAACACCAACUCAGAGCUAGUGAUCAAGGCUGAUGCACGCGUUCAAGAGCCCAAAGGGAGGUGAACUUGAAAGAGUUAUCCCAAGAGCUUCUGUUUUAGUAAAGCAUGAGCUACUCAAAGCUCUACAAUUUGGCGCAUUGUGAUCUUAUAUAUUAUUUUCGGCCACUGGCCAAAUUUGGCGCAUUUAUGCUACCUUUGGGGUCCAUAUCCAUUGUCUGUAUAUAACUUCACUUUGUAUAUUGCUAUCAUUCAUAGAUCAAUAAUUGUUUACUUUCACAGCCAGUUUUUGAAUUGCUUCUCAAGUGUUAGAUGAUAACAAAAUCUAGUUGCAGUAAUAGUGUGAUUAUAAAAUGGAUGCCACCAUUUAAACACACGUUAUACAUAAGAUGUGAAUCCAUUGUGUUUAGCAGUAAGGGUCUAAGACUUAAGUUCAUGAAACCACCACAAAGAGUUUUUCACCAUUGAUUCUUUGCAAAAGAAAAAUUAAAGAAAUAGAUUGUAGUAUACACUUACUAAUUAACAACAUAUCAAAACCAAAAUUUCAUGUUUGAUAAAAUUAUAAAAGUAGACUUACAAAAACGUCUACACUUAUUAGCUAACUACAUAGUCAAAUAAAAAAAUUGAUAGUUUCAUAAUUAUAAAAGAUUAUCUUUUGAAAAUAGUUCAAAACCAUUAGGAUUAACUAACACACAAUAUCAAACAAUAAAAUCUUAAAAAUACUUAAUGAAUAAUACACAAAUUCACUUUAUAUAGAUUUUUGGACGUAGACUUCAUAUUUCGUCUUACAUGCAUAGACUGUCAUGUAGGUCAACUAUUUGGGUUAGUUUUUGCAAUUGCAAAAUUCACGGGUUAUUAUUUGUAUUUAAAUAAAACUUGUGAUUUUAUAUUUGUAGACUUUAUUUUCAGUCUACAUUUUGAAAAUGUUAGUUUUUACAGUUGACCAGAAUUCACAUAAAAUUUGAAUUUCAAAAGUAGACUUCAUAUAUAGUCUACAUUUUUAAUUUUCUUGGAAUAGGUUAGUUUUUGCAAUUGACCAAGUUUGACUUUCCAUGAGUAAAUUGAAAUUAACGUCUACACAUGUGUAGACUUCACAUAAAGUCUACUCUCAAAUCCGACAGGUUAGUUUUGCAUUUGACCAAAAUAAAAAAGUAGACUUCAUAUGCAGUCUAUGUUUUUUUUUCCGAGAAGAGUAGACUGAAUAUGAAGUCUACAUUUCUUUUUUCUUUCGGUCAAUUUUUUAACAUUUUAGUCAAAUACAAAAAUAACCUAUUCAACGAAGUCAAAGUUUUGGUCAAAUGCAAAACUAACAUUUUGUAGAUUUCCUUAAUAAUCUCCAGAAUAUAGACUGCUAAUGAAGUCUACUUUGAAAAGUCAAAAGUUCAGUCAAAUGCAAAACUAACCUCUUUUAGGUAGACCUCUUAGUAAGUUUACCUAUUUUUUUGUUUUUGUUUUCAAAGGAAAAGAUGUAGACUUCUAAGGAAGUCUUCUUUACAAAAAAAAUUAUUUUGGUCAAUUGCAAAACUAACCUAAGCAUUGACAAGUAGACCGCAUCGUAAGUCUACGCCACUGUGUAGACAUACAAAACAGUCUACAAUCGUGACACAGAUCUGAAAAAUGACGAAAACCAUGUAAACAGUUACCUUUUUCUGGUGCAAAGCACGUUUCCACCCUUUUCCACUAUCCAAGCUCCAAAUAUGAGCAAAAAAUAGCAUCUUUGAUGAUUCACAACUGAAUAAACUCGAAAAUAUGAAAGUUGUGCUUAUGAAAAUGAAAUCUAUGAGAGAUUUUUAGAUGAAAAUGGAGAGAAAAUGUGAUGAAAUGUAGAUUUGUUGGUUUAGAAAGAGAAAAAAGUGGUUAGAAAUUGAGUUCUUGAGCUUUUAUAAGCUCAAAAAUGGUAGUUCAUGGUGGUUGCAAAAUUGAUGAUAAUGACAUUGUUGUAAAUAAGAAGAAAUGUUUAGGGUGUAAUUGGUUUUUGGUCAUUUUCGAAAUAAUUAAAAAAUUAAAUAAUAAUGGCAAUUUUGUAAAUAUUUCAAAAACAUAAGGAUAGUUUGGAAAAUUCAUUGAUGAAUAGUAAUGGCAAAAAAAAAGGGGUUAGUUUUAGGUUUGACUUGAAAAUAUGGGUUGGUUUUGAAAAACUCCCUCUAAAUAGUAACUAUACAGUUUUAAUGUUUUUUUGGGUACAAAUGUUAAAAUAGUUAUGUUUUCUAGUAAAUACGUGAAUAUCUGUAACUUUCAUGAUCUUUGUGGAUUUUUUCACAUUUUAUCUUAUUAUAUAAAGCUUGGUUCUUCAAAGUUGCUAAUUAACAUGAUUGCGAUACAUGACAAUUAUAUAUUUUAAGAUUGUGACAUGUGUUAAUCUAUCUCAUAAUUAAAAAUAUAUAUACAAAUAUAUUAACAAAAAAUUCUUAUUAAAAAGUAAUAAUAAAUAUUAUGUAAUAGUAAUUUUCCUUUUUAAAAUCCUAAUCAAAACAUUAUUGCAAAUGAUUAUUUGAUAAUAAUUUUCUUUCUAAUAUUGUGACAUGUGUUUAAAUAUAUAAUGAUUAAAAAUAUAUAUAAUAAGAUAAUAAAACAAAUUUUGAAAAAAUUACUUUUAAAAAUUAUUUAAUAGUAAAAAAUUU